GCUCUCGUCAUUCAACGGAUAGGAUAGCCGCCUCCGAAGUGGCCAAUACUGGUUCGACUCCAGCCGAGAGCACCA
rnacentral:tRNA from 1 species